UACGUAGGGUGCGAGCGUUAAUCGGAAUUACUGGGCGUAAAGCGUGCGCAGGCGGUUUUGUAAGACAGAUGUGAAAGCCCCGGGCUUAACCUGGGAAUGGCAUUGGUGACUGCACGGCUAGAGUGUGUCAGAGGGGGGUAGAAUUCCACGUGUAGCAGUGAAAUGCGUAGAGAUGUGGAGGAAUACCGAUGGCGAAGGCAGCCCCCUGGGAUAACACUGACGCUCAUGCACGAAAGCGUGGGGAGCAAACAGG
rnacentral:rRNA from 1 species